rnacentral:rRNA from 1 species
GAUGAACGCUAGCUACAGGCUUAACACAUGCAAGUCGCAGGGUAACAUGAGGAAAGCUUGCUUUCCUUGAUGACGACUGGCGCACGGGUGAGUAACGCGUGUCCAACCUUCCCAUAACUACGGGAUAACCCGUUGAAAGACGGCCUAAUACCGUAUGACAUCGUUUGCUGACAUCAAAUAACGAUUAAAGGUUUAGCGGUUAUGGAUGGGGAUGCGUCUGAUUAGCUUGUUGGCGGGGUAACGGCCCACCAAGGCGACGAUCAGUAGGGGUUCUGAGAGGAAGGUCCCCCACAUUGGAACUGAGACACGGUCCAAACUCCUACGGGAGGCAGCAGUGAGGAAUAUUGGUCAAUGGGCGAGAGCCUGAACCAGCCAAGUAGCGUGCAGGAUGACGGCCCUAUGGGUUGUAAACUGCUUUUAUGUGGGGAUAAAGUGCGUGACGUGUCAUGCAUUGCAGGUACCACAUGAAUAAGGACCGGCUAAUUCCGUG